rnacentral:rRNA from 1 species
GACGAACGCUGGCGGCGUGCUUAACACAUGCAAGUCGAACGAAGUGGCGAACGGGUGAGUAAUACGUGCGUAACAUGCCCUCCUUUUUGGGAUAAGCCUUGGAAACGGGGUCUAAUACCGAAUAAAGGGGGAUGGGCCAGAGGGCUAUCAGCUUGUUGGUGGGGUGAUGGCCUACCAAGGCGGUGACGGGUAGCCGGCUUGAGAGGGUGCUCGGCCACAUGGGGACUGAGAUACGGACCAGACGCCUACGGGAGGCAGCAGUGGGGGAUAUUGCACAAUGGGCGAAAGCCUGAUGCAGCCAUGCCGCGUGUGUGAAGAAGGUCUUCGGAUUGUAAAGCACUUUAAGUUGGGAGGCGUUACCAACAGAAGAAGCACCGGCUAACUUCGUGCCAGCAGCCGCGGUAAUAC